rnacentral:miRNA from 1 species
UGAUUGUCCAAAAAAGUUUGUUUGGAUUUUUCGUACCUUCUUACGGAAAACCCAAAUGAAUGUUUUGGCCAACCCA